GUUCCCCGUCUGUCUCCCCAUCCCUCUCCUCCUCCAUCCUAUUCACCUCUCUCUCUCUUCCCCCAAUCCCACCUCACCUCUCACCUACGACCCUGCUGGCCCUCCCUGGCCGCCGCGCCGCACCUCUCCCCACCCCAUCAUGCCUUCUCUCCGGCGCCGCCCCCUCCGCACCCCUUCCCCUGCGGCACGAGGGUGGGCUGCGGCGGCAUGCGGCACGGAGCUGCGCGGCGCGCCAUCGAGCUGCAGCGACAGCGCAGGGGCGGGCCUCGGCAACGCGCGGCGCGAAGCAGGGCAGGCCACGGCGGCGCAAGGUGCGGAGACGCGGCGGCAACGCGAGGGCAGGCCGUGGCGCAGAGCAGGACGGGCCGCAGCGGCGCGCGGUGCAGAGCUGCAGCGGCGGCGUGAGGGCAGGCCGCGGUGCGCGGUGCGGAGGAGGAUGGGCCGCGUGGCGUGAGGAGUGGCGGAUCGAAUGUUCCUCAACCCUAAGGCCCCACCCUGCUCACUGGAUCUGUCGACUUCGCAUCAAGAGGAGCAGCGGUGGCGCUCGGGUGACUAUGCGGAGCUGUACCGAUAGAGCUUCCUGGAUCCACGAGAAGAAAUGGGAGGUGAACGACCAUGCUGGCUGUGGAGGUCUCCACACCGUCAGCCCUGAUGGAUGUUCUUCAAUCUCCAUCACCGAGGAUUCGAGAGCUGGCUCAUAGGAAUCGAGCGAUGCAACCAAUCCAUAUUUGUAGCUAGAGGAUGGCAAGUGAAGAACUGGAGAUGUGGAUGGCUGUGUUUAGGAUUCUGCAGUACAUACGAUUUUUAUUGUUUGAUGUUUGUUCAGGAAUUGAACUUUUUGUUGUAGUUGUCUGUUGCAACCAUGAGCCUUGUGUUAGUUGGCAACAAUAGAGUAAAUUGUUGAAAUGCUUAACUAAUAUCAUUAAAAUGCUGAACUGGUAUCAUUGCCUACACAAUACUAAUCAAAAUGCUUAUGAUAUUCAAGAGAGUAUUGUCAAAAUGUUUAUGAUAUUCAGGAGAGUAUUGGAAAGUAUUGACUGGUCCAUGUUUUUUUGGUAGUCCUGUAGUGAUGUAUCGGAUUGCUAGGUGUUUAUUUUUAUUGGUAUGGUCCAGUGUAAGGCUACAAGAUUAUGAUGUGUUUGAUUUAUUGAAACUACCCAUAACGGAAAUGUAAAAUGAUUAACUGAUAUUAUUAAAAUGCAUACUUAGUAUUAACUAAAAUGCUUUUUUAUGAUCCCAUGUUGGAUUCUAGCUUCAGGGGAUUAGAGGCAAGAAGGUUAGAGAGGAUUUAGGAAUUGGUGUUCUGCACAUUGACCUAUUGUUGCAGACUUGCAUUUUCGGGCUAGGUGAUUAGGUGUGAUGCGUUAGUUGGGUCAGGGAAUGGGGCAUGGGGACUCAGGCAGCAUCUGUUUAGUAGGGCAAGUAAAGCAAGUAUUCGAGUUGUGGUUUUGAUUCAUGAUGUAUCUGUUUUGAUUCCAUGUUCUCAUGAUUAAACACCAUCGAAAGCUGCUAGUCACUGGAUCCCUCUUAUGGAUAUAAAUUUGAACUAGUCAAUUUUACUAGUUUAAUCAGGUGGGGCAAGUGGCCGGCGAGGUGUGCGUCAGCACACACCGAAUCUCUAUCUCGAGGGUCCUCGGCUCCCAUCAUUACACCGCUCACUGCAACCUCUUCUGCCUCCUCAAUUAUGUGGCAGUUUUCGUGAGGAGGUUCAGCUCUGCAAUUGAGGAGGUUGUCACUAGGUGUGGAUAAUAUAAUGUGAUGCUAAAUAGUAAGAACCCCACCUCAUGCUAUGUUAAGUUUUCUUUUAUGAUCAGUUUGUUGUGUUCACAAGGUUAGGGGUAGUAUAGCUGCCAGCCUGCCACAAGUGCUAUGUGAAGUGGAUGGUCUGGCUAUCUAGUAUUUUCUUUUCCAGUUAUUAGUAAGGUCAUUCGUGUAUAUUGUAUUGUUUGCGGUUAUAGUCUAAAACUCUAGCAUAUUUCUAAUUACAGCUAAGCACUUUACUUAUGGCAUCUUAGCAAAUUUUAGACUAAUAUAUUAUAAUUUUGCAAUUACAGCUCGAGACUUCAGCAUUUCUCUAGUUACAGUUAAGCUAAUUCUAUAUUAUCCAAAACAGUAUACUUCAUUAGUCAACAAUAUGGCUCUGAACUAAGCAAAAUAGUUUCAUUAGCCAAUGUUUAGUUUAAAAUUUUAUAAUUUGUUUUCAUUGGGUUCCUGAAGUACUAGGUAAUAUCAACUAUCAGAACUGGUAUUUAACAUAGAACUUAGUUCUUUAGCUGAUCUGACCAUAUGGGAGUAAAUGUUGUGUAUAGUCAUCUUGAGAGUACAUAUUCACUUAUGGGCCAAAUUAGACAGUUAUGUGGUUCUCAAUUAGGCAAUAAUAUGGCACUAGAAAGACAAAAUAGUUUACAUUUUUAGGCAACGUUACUGAACAUCUAAUUUCAGCUUGUCAUAGAUAGAUAGCACAUCUAAUGUUAGAUUGUCUCUUGACAUACAGUUCAAAUUUGUAGCGAUUGUUAAUGACUUUGCAUGCUACAGUGAACUGAACUUGAAAAUUAUCAACUGAACUUGAGUGUUUCCAUGCUGACACAUCAGAGCUUGUUAUCCCUGGGAGGGGCAAGAUCUUAGGUAUGAUCUCUUUCACAUUGUCUUAGGCAUUUCAGUACUUUGCAAUAGACAUUUUUGUCAAACAGUAGAAGUAUUUUCAGUACUUUCCUACAGGCAACUAUCAAUUAUAGAAGCAUUUAUCUUAGCUUGACUAGGCAUCUAUUUCAGUUUUAUGCAUCAUUUAUCAACACAAUCACAUCUCUUUUCAGGUUUGGUUUCUCCUUGUUCCUUAGGCCUCAACAAGAUCACUCUCAGAUUCGGUGCCAAUGUACAAGGGCGAUACAUCCUCCACGCCGCAUGGGCGACACCUACAGAUCAAGGAUGGAGUUGAGGGCAAGCACCUUUUGAUGACUGUCCAGUCAGCCAUGGGGGAGGACCAUAUCUGUGAGCAAAGGACAUUGCACCCAAGUAAAAUUUUUAGAGAACACCAGCCAUGGAACAGAGCGAUCGAUUGUAUUUGGUGCUUUUGUGCUUAGGUGCUAUAGUAAGCUCACACAAAUCUUGAUGAUGGAGCCAUUCCUUUUUUUUUCAAUUUGGUGAUAGAGAAUGAUGCCUGAGAUUUUUUUUUGUGAAAGUUUAGAAUUUAGAUGGUCAAAAAUACCUUUGUAUAUGUUCAAAUUUGCUUACAGCUUUUCGAAGCUUUGCCUGCUAUGUUCCCAAAAGUUGCUUUUUAUUAUA